rnacentral:rRNA from 1 species
AGGGGUGAGUAAAGUGGCGUACGGGUGAGUAACACGUGGGUAAUCUACUCUUUGGUGGGGAAUAACCCUGGGAAACCGGGGCUAAUACCGCAUAAGCUCGUAAGAGGAAAGGUGAAAAUCGCCGAAGAAGGAGCCCGCGGCUGAUUAGCUAGUUGGUGAGGUAAAGGCUCACCAAGGCGAAGAUCGGUAGCCGGCCUGAGAGGGCACACGGCCACACUGGCACUGAAACACGGGCCAGACUCCUACGGGAGGCAGCAGUGGGGAAUCUUGCACAAUGGGGGCAACCCUGAUGCAGCGACGCCGCGUGAGCGAUGAAGCCCUUCGGGGUGUAAAGCUCUUUCGGCAGGAACGAUAAUGACGGUACCUGAAGAAGAAGCUGCGGCUAACUACGUGCCAGCAGCCGCGGUAAUACGUAGGCAGCGAGCGUUGUUCGGAGUUACUGGGCGUAAAGCGUGCGUAGGCGGUCUUGUAAGUUUGGUGUGAAAUCUCCCGGCUCAACUGGGAGGGUGCGCCGAAAACUGCAAGGCUGGAGUAUGGGAGAGGUAGGCGGAAUUCCUGGUGUAGCGGUGAAAUGCGUAGAUAUCAGGAGGAACACCUGUGGUGUAGACGGCUUACUGGACCAUGACUGACGCUGAGGCACGAAAGCGUGGGGAGCAAACAGGAUUAGAUACCCUGGUAGUCCACGCCCUAACGAUGCAUACUUGGUGUGGGUAAUUCAUUUUAUCCGUGCCGGAGCUAACGCGUUAAGUAUGCCGCCUGGGGAGUACGGUCGCAAGGCUG